UACGGAGGGUGCAAGCGUUAUCCGGAUUCACUGGGCUUAAAGGGUGCGUAGGAGGGCAGGGAAGUCAGUGGUGAAAUCUCCGGGCUUAACUCGGAAACUGCCGUUGAUACUCUCUGUCUUGAAUCCCGUGGAGGUGAGCGGAAUAUGUCAUGUAGCGGUGAAAUGCUUAGAUAUGACAUAGAACACCAAUUGCGAAGGCAGCUCACUACACGAAGAUUGACUCUGAGGCACGAAAGCGUGGGGAUCAAACAGG
rnacentral:rRNA from 1 species